rnacentral:rRNA from 1 species
UACGGAGGGUGCGAGCGUUGUUCGGAAUCACUGGGCGUAAAGCGCGUGUAGGCGGCCCUUUAAGUCCGAUGUGAAAGCCCGGGGCCUCACCCCCGGAAGUGCAUUGGAUACUGAAGGCUGGAGUACCGGAGAGGAGGGUGGAAUUCCUGGUGUAGCGGUGAAAUGACGUAGAUAUCAGGAGGAACACCUGUGGCGAAGGCGGCCCUCCUGGACGGAUACUGACGUGGAGACGCGAAAGCGUGGGGAGCAAACAGG